AUUGAACGCUGGCGGCAGGCCUAACACAUGCAAGUCGAGCGGAUGAAGGGAGCUUGCUCCUGGAUUCAGCGGCGGACGGGUGAGUAAUGCCUAGGAAUCUGCCUGGUAGUGGGGGAUAACGUCCGGAAACGGGCGCUAAUACCGCAUACGUCCUGAGGGAGCAAGUUGGGGAUCUUCGGACCUCACGCUCUCAGAUGAACCUAGGUCGGAUUAGCUAGUUGGUGGGGUAAAGGCCUACCAAGGCGACGAUCCGUAACUGGUCUGAGAGGAUGAUCAGUCACAUUGGAACUGAGACACGGUCCAGACUCCUAAGGGAGGGAGCAGUGGGGAAUAUGGGACAAUGGGCGAAAGCCUGAUCCAGCCAUGCCGCGUGUGUGAAGAAGGUCUUCGGAUUGUAAAGCACUUUAAGUUGGGAGGAAGGGCAGUAAGUUAAUACCUUGCUGUUUUGACGUUACCAACAGAAUAAGCACCGGCUAACUUCGUG
rnacentral:rRNA from 1 species